rnacentral:rRNA from 1 species
GAUGAAUGCUGGCGGCGUGCUUAACACAUGCAAGUCGAGCGGUAAGGCCCUUCGGGGUACACGAGCGGCGGACGGCUGAGUAACGCGUGGGAACAUGCCCUAAAGUGAGGAAUAACUGCCCGAAAGGGUGGCUAAUGCCGCAUAUGAUCUUCGGAUUAAAGGAUUUAUCCGCUUUAGGAGUGGCCUGCGUACGAUUAGCUUGUUGGUGAGGUAAUGGCUUACCAAGGCGUCGAUCGUUAGCUGGUCUGAGAGGAUGACCAGCCAGACUGGAACUGAGACACGGUCCAGACUCCUACGGGAGGCGGCAGUGAGGAAUCUUCCACAAUGGGCGAAAGCCUGAUGGAGCAACGCCGCGUGCAGGAUGAAGGCCCUCGGGUCGUAAACUGCUUUUAUGAGUGAAGAAUAUGACGGUAACUCAUGAAUAAGCACCGGCUAACUACGUGCCAGCAGCCGCGGUA